rnacentral:rRNA from 1 species
UACGUAGGGUGCAAGCGUUGUCCGGAAUUAUUGGGCGUAAAGAGCUCGUAGGCGGUGUGUCGCGUCGGCCGUGAAAACCUGCAGCUUAACUGUGGGCGUGCGGGCGAUACGGGCAGACUGGAGUACUGCAGGGGAGACUGGAAUUCCUGGUGUAGCGGUGGAAUGACGCAGAUAUCAGGAGGAACACCGGUGGCGAAGGCGGGUCUCUGGGCAGUAACUGACGCUGAGGAGCGAAAGCGUGGGGAGCGAACAGG